rnacentral:rRNA from 1 species
UACGUAGGGUGCAAGCGUUAAUCGGAAUUACUGGGCGUAAAGCGUGCGCAGGCGGCUUUGCAAGACAGAUGUGAAAUCCCCGGGCUUUAACCUGGGAACUGCAUUUGUGACUGCAUGGCUGGAGUGCGGCAGAGGGGGAUGGAAUUCCGCGUGUAGCAGUGAAAUGCGUAGAUAUGCGGAGGAACACCGAUGGCGAAGGCAAUCCCCUGGGCCUGCACUGACGGCUCAUGCACGAAAGCGUGGGGAGCAAACAGG